CCCCGAGUCUAGUUGAGGUAUGACUCUAAGUUUCGAGGACGAAACUUCUUUUAAGGAGGGGAGGAUGUAGUGUACCGAAUUUUUAAUAUAGAAAUAAGUGUAAAUAAAAAUAUAUAAAAUAGUGUUAUGAGAUGGGCUAAGGUGUAAUUGUGCAAAUGAGAGGGGCUAAGGUGUAAUUGUGCAAAUGAGAGGGGCUAAGGUGUAAUGGUGCAAGUAAAAGAGUUUACUUGGAGGGCAAGUCUCCCUAUGUUAUGAGAGGGACUAAAGUGUAAUUGUGCAAAUCAAGGGUUUACUUGGAGGGCAAGUUUCCUAUGAGUGUGAGUGAACCCUUGCCCCCUUUUUCCCAAACCGUAGGAAAGAGAGAGUGGGCUUUCUCUCUCUUUCUCUCUUUGUCCUUGUGGUCUCUCUUUCUCUCUCUCUUUCUCUUUAUUAAAAAGAGGAUUUGCUAAAGAGAGGAUUUGCUAAGAGAGGAUUAGAGAAUACUAAUUGGAGUUGCUUGGUGGUGAAGCAAGCUUAGUGGAGAAGAAGGCUUGGAAUUGAGCUACUUCCUUCAUCUUCUUCAUCACUUGGAUUAGAGAAGAAAGCUUGUUUAAG
rnacentral:lncRNA from 1 species